AUGUCGUCUCCCUCGGACGCGCACUCCGCUGCGAGCGGCGGCGGCGCGCCGGCCAGUAACCCUGAUCUUGGCGACUACUUCAAUCAGUUAGACCUUAACGAUGAGGACUUCGAUGAUGUCGAGAUUGAUGUGGAUGACCCAGAGAUCAAUGAAAGUGUCAGAUGGCUUGCUCUAGCUAGGGUGCACACGGAGAAAAAUUUCAGUCAAUCAGCGUUUUACAAGGACAUGCGCGCAGCGUGGAACCCAGCGCAGAGUGUGAGAUUCAAACCAGUUGGCCCUAACCGAUUCGUCGUCCAAGCGUCUUGCCUGGGGGAUUGGGAGCGCAUGAUGAUGCAGGGGCCUUGGCUGUUUCGUAACAUGGCUGUUCUGUUGUGUCCUUAUGAUGGGUUCAGUAAGACAGAUGAGAUCGAAAUUUUUGAGAUGCCGAUU
rnacentral:rRNA from 1 species